rnacentral:lncRNA from 1 species
GGAAUGGGCAACACAAAGGCGGUAAGAACACCGCGUAAGGAAUGGGCAACACAAAGGCGGUAAGAACACCGCGUAAGGAAUGGGCAACACAAAGGCGGUAAGAACACAGCAUAAGCAAUACUGCGUGGCGCCGAGGUACUAACCCUGACAACGGGCGGAGAUUCACUGUUCUGAGGAUAACUAAGCCCAGUUCUACAUUUUCUUCUACAACUCAGAAUCCAACUGGGUAAAGAACGCUUAAUUACUAGAUGGCUAAAAUAUUAAAAUCUCGAGGCAACUAGUCCUUUCUGUAAGAACAUGAAAACUCACCUGCACGGAUGGUGAUACUCAUUUCCGCCAAAUUCCGCACCACGACAUAGUUAUCAACAUCUACACCUGAAAUGGCACUCUGGCGUUGACCUGAUUUCCAACCACGACAUGGUCGGCAUACGUACUGUUACACGGUGAAGCCUUUCCCUUUCACACGCACCUUGGGGCCUCCUGAGGUCUCAACAACGUGGCGGAGGCCAAAGCUGCCCUCCACGCAUUCAGGUGCUGGGAGCAUCUUGCCCGGCCCGGUUGCGGCAGCAGCCUCCCAAGACUCAGGCAGACCGCAGGGUCCUGCCCGGCGCCCGGGCCCUCAGAGGGCUGGCUCCGGGGCGACCCGAGCCAUCCGAACCUCUAGCAAACAAACAUCCCCCACCGAGAGCCGAGGCCAGAAAGGACGCGCCGUCUUCCCACAAUGCUUUUCUACGACUGGAACGACCCAUUGCUAGAGGGGUGCGGGGAGGACGGACUGCACCAUCGACAUUCGCGCGCCCUCGCCAGACGCCGCCGUGUGGCCGGAGGGCGAAUUGCCCAGUGAUUGGCAGAGGGGCGGGGCGGCACGGGCAGAGUUGUGAGGGCGCGGCUUCUCACUCCCAGCGCCGGCCGGUGGAGCCCAGCGAGCAGUUCUUUAUGCGGGAGGGGAGGUUUUUUCCCAGUGUGGAUACUCAACCACCCCUCCUCCCAGUGUCAAGAGCACACGGUCAGCGCUGA